rnacentral:lncRNA from 1 species
AGCAUUGCACUUGUCAACGGUUUAUGGGCGUUAGGCCCGAUUCCGUGACAAAGGGGACGGGGGACCCAAGGGCCCACGUCCCGGGAAAAGGGGAAAGGGGAAAAGGGUAGGGAGAUGGCCCUGAGAGCAAAGAACAGCGGCAACAAUCUGAGGAGAAACAAACUAAUUUACUAAAUAAAAUAUCGGAAUGCAAAACAACACACUAUAAUACAAUAUAAUUACAAUUUAAGCUGCUUAGGCUCUCAGGAUCUUCCAGGUGUUCAGGAGUUCACCUGGGUGCCGUGUAAAGUCUUUUCUCAAGACUCGAAGUUCAGUCAUUUUCAGAGGACGAGUAGUAAGGGUUUCAACAUCUCUUGCCGUUGUUGUUGCCCUGGCGGGCGUUGGUGACCGGGAUCUCGUUGAGGGCCCUUCCCCUGGACUUUGGGGUGGCUCCCCUGGACUUGAUAUUCGUUUCACCUUCCGUCCUCUUACAGGGGCAACUGAAAUCAGUUGUGGUGCCUCCUGUGGUUGAUCAGGCUGGUUGUUUUUCAUGUUCUGUCUCUCAAGCUCGGCUUGGACCAACUUUUCUGUUACGGCAUGAAAGUUGGAUUGGAGAGCAUGUAGUUCUGUUUGUCCUGCUCGGAUUGGAGACAACUGAGCUUGGAUUGCAGAGUGUUCCUCUCAUUUUGGAAGGUGUCUCGCUCGGAUUGCAGAGUGUCCUGCUCGGACUGGAGACAAUCGAGCUUGGAUUGCAGAGUGUCCCGCUCGGAUUGGAGACAGUCGAGCUUGGAUUGCAGAGUGUCCCGCUCAUUUUGGAAGGUGUACCAUUCUGACUGGAAGAUGUUUUCCUGAGAUCGGAGAUUAUUUCUUUCGGCUCGGAGAUCUUCCUUUUCAGCUUGGAGAAUUUCUUUCUCAGCUUGGAGACACUCUCGCUCAUUCAGUACUUUCUGACGGAAACUCUCCUUUUCACUUUGAAAACUCUCCCUUUCCUUUUGGAAACUCUCUCUCUCAGCUUCGAAACAAUCUAUUUUGGUUUGGAGACCCUGUAUUUCAGUUUGGAGACCCUGUAUUUUGGUUUGGAAACUCUGUCUCUCAUUUUCAAACUAUAAAUUCAAUACAGAGAGAGAGAAUGUCCCAAAAUCAAGGUAGGCCUUACUCUACUACCGACGAUAAGACGGCUGGGGAGCGAGGUGCUGCCAAGACGAGAGACGGCGGAAAAAAGGGACGAGGUCUCGUGAUCUGCAAGUUUUUAUACUGCGAGCUUUUAUCUUUUCCCUCCGGCUGGAAAUGGUAACAGAGGAGCAAAGUACCGUGGGGACUGUAGUAGUCCUUCUCUUCUGAGAACUAGGUAUAUCCACUACAUGAUGUUAUGAUGUGGAAUACCAAUAACCGAAAAUCAUAAAACCAUGACAGCACUUUAAGAAAUAUGGAGGCAAAAAAAAAAAAAAGAGCUUAAGUGGGAAGAGGAGACAGAACAGGAAAAAUAG